rnacentral:sRNA from 1 species
CGGCCACAGAUGCCGGAGACCACCCAAAUAGAUGCUUUUUCCACGAAACAACGUUGCCAUAUGCUUCGAUCCAGAGAAAAAAAAGGUGGCAUCAUUCCUAGGCUGAUUCUUUUUGAUUCUCUCAAUAUCUCAAUCUCUGCAAUAUAGAAGGGAGUGAGCAACAAGAGAGAGAGAGAGAGAACGAGAUCAAUCAAAUACACACCACCAGGUAGCAACAUCUACAUUUCAAUCACAUGUAUGCACCAGGUAUUUCUUUCUUUUGCAUGAAGAUGUUUGGAAUAUGUGUUGUUAACGGCUAGGAAAAAUUGUAAAGAAAACAAUAAUAACAAAGUGACGAGACCUUAA